ensembl:lncRNA
CCGAGCUCCGACCGUGCUCCGCGGGACCGGGGCGGGCCUGGCCGCGCACAGCCUCUUUGUCGGGGUUAACGCCCGAGGUGCUCGGCUCUCCCCAGCCGGCGGUCGGGGCGGGAUGCUGAAGAGGCUGAGGAGGAGACGUGUGGGCUGCGGCCGAGGAACACCUGCAUUUUAGGCAGGAGAAACGGUGCCUCGGUUUUUAAACGGAGACGAAUUUUUUGAAGUAUGAUUUGUUGUGUAAGUUUAUUUUGAACUGGCGUUUUUUUCUUCCCGAGUUCAGUAAUGGGUUCUGUUUUAACACAGAACCGUUUGUAAGGAAGACAAAUUCUCCUGAAUUUGUCUUUUUCACCCUGUAAACGCUUUCAUGUCAGGUACGACUCCUCUUGUUGCACCAUGCGGGAAACAAACGCUACAGAAUUCAGUCUGGGCGUAAAUUAAAUGCCUACUUGAUGCUCAGUCACAGAGCAAAUGUAAAUAUUCAUUUAGAUAACCAAAGUUGUGUGCGUUAUGGAUGUAAACCAAAGAAUGAGCAUCAGUUUUAACAGUAACAUUGCUUUUAAAAACUAAUUCGUAAUACUAAAAAGCCACUUGGAAAUUUAAUAGGGUCUAGGAAAGGAUGAGCUUCCUUUAACAAUUGACAAGAAGUGGCAAUACAGAAGAAAGAUGUUCCUAAAAGUAAAAGGUCAGCCUGUAGGCCAGCUGUACUGGAACUCAAGUAAAGCCUCACCGAUUCUAAAUGCAGCAGAAGAAAGUUUCUGGAAUCUGUGAGGAAGGAAGAAUCUCAGGACAUAUGUCCCCUCAGCUCUGCAUCCAGGAUCCUUGAAUAGCUGCCUUUUUCAAACCUGGGUCUCGCCCUCCUUUCUUGCCUACUUAUCUACUAGAAAACCGGUUUUUGUGUUUCUUAUGCUCCAAGUGACCCCACACAUCUCCCUCCUCUCCCACCUUUUGAAAGCUAUUGCUCUUGCUAGAUGGAAUAAGUAUGUCCAGUGGAGUCUAUGUUCAUGGCAGUUAGUUGGAAACGUAAAACUCUUUGGUCUGAGAAAGAUUCCCUUCUUUAAAAACAGUGGCAAAAAUCAAACAAAUUUCAACCCAAAUCCAAGCGCUUGCAGUUUUUCUAGGGGACGAGCAGUCUGUCUACACAAACUCACACCCUGAAGCCAAGAACCAGCAAGACCUCGCCAAGAAACCCGAACAACUGCAGCACACCGAGCUCACAGACAACACAGGGCACCGACGUUCCCUUCAGGCCUCUCGGGGUUACAGCUUUUCUCUUGUGGCUGCACGGCUUCUUCCAGCAGGUGUUACAUCACCGCUCCCACGGAGAUGAUGUGAUGGGACUCAAUGAAUGACUUCAUCUCCUGGAAUUUUCUUCCUGUGGGCGUUAAUGCAAGGGGAGACUGUUUAACUAUUGAGUAAACAAUACAUUCAUGGGUUAUUGAUGUCUGGGUAACUGGAAGGAACAGCAAGUUUCAGCUGCUCACUGCAUUCUAUGCAGCAAAAAAAAUAACAGGUGCUUGUAUUUUAGAGCCUUUUGUAAAGAAAAGCACUGAGAUUUUUAAAUGUCAGAUGUAAAAGGAAUAGUAAUUAUUUUGUCAUCAGGUCUGAUCUUAGCUUUGGUGGGAAUAAAAGCGUUUCAUUAAAA